GAGGGUAUAGCUCAGUGGUAGAGUGCAUGCCUAGCAUGCACAAGGUCCUGGGUUCAAUCCCCAAUACCUCCA
rnacentral:tRNA from 1 species